GGGUAGAGCACUCCACCAUCCUCUGUUUGAUUCCAACCCACGUCCCUAUAACUCCUUUUAUUAAAGUCUUAUCUGAACCAUCCGGAAUGAAUUCUGUUUCCUGCUGGGACCCUGAUUGAUAUAGCAAUACAGGAGGCCAACAACAUGCCUGGGAGUUUUGAAGCAGGACAGGAAUCCAGACUCAACAUGCCAUCGUGGCUCAGAGGGAGCCAAAUGCAAGAUUACAUGAUAGGCCAGAAGCUGGGUCAUGGUCUACCAGACCAGAUAAGCCACUCCAGGGAAAGCAGCUGCUGUGUCACCAGCACGAUCAGCAUCCUGUAGAGAGGCACAUGUGGCGGGAAGGGAGGCCUCUGGACAUCAGCCAGCGAGGAACUAAGGCCUGCCAACAACCACAUGAGCGAGCUUGGAAAUGGAUUCUCCAGCCCCAGUCAAGCCUUGAUGGGACUGCAGCUGCUGCCAACAGCUUGACUGCUACCUUGUAAGAGACAGCGAGCCAGAGCCACCCAGCUAAGCUUCUCCCCGUUUUCUGCCCCUCAGAAACCGUGAGAGAUAAUAAAUGUUUCUUGUUUCAAGCUGUUAAAUUUGGGGGUAAUUUGUUACACAGCAAUAGAUAACUAAAACAACUUUGUACUACUAAACAUUAAAAAUUAUCUAGGAAAUUAUGUUUCCAUCUUUGUCCAAGCUGCUAGGAAGUACAAACUAAAUACGAUUCUUGAUUUCACUUGCCUUUCUCUGUCUGAAAUUGUUGGUUUUUCCACUUCCCCACUCCCUUUAUUUUUUAUUCUCAUACUUCAUUUUCUAUCCACUGACUUUGGUUUUAUCCUAUUUACUCAUUUAUUGCAAAGCUCUUAGAGACUUUUUUUAAAAUUAGAUGAGAGAUAAAACAACAAAGUAAAGACAGUAAACAUUAGAUAGGAUUCCAGCCAACAUCAGAGAGAUGAAAAAUCUCAGAGAGAAAAUAGAGCAAGCAAUACAGCACAGCCCGUUACUAGCGUUCAACUAACUAGCAAUUGCUCUUAGAAUUCAAAGAAAUGAUACACCAGAAAAGUUGUGUUUUUGGUCAAUUUCCCCUGAAGCAGAUCUUGAGAUAGGAUUUGCAUUAUGAAAGUGCCCUUAAAAUAAACUGCUAAGGGAAGAAGUCAAGCCAGGGUAAUAUCUCAACAUCUCACAGAAGAUUGCUUCAGCCUGAUCCUCCCUAGGAUGUUUGCAAUAUAAGUUAACACCUCAGAGACUGUCCUGGGGCAAAGGAAAUGAGCUUCCAAGCUUCUGCACCAGUCACCCGUUGGCCAUGGUCCUCUCAGGGAAGCAAGGUGUUAGGGACUACAGCUUUCUGUGGGCUCUGGAUGUGUAGAUAAAGUGGCUGCAGUAGCCUGGGCAAGUCCUUCAAAGAAAGUUCCAGGUGUCUGUGGUCAGGGGGAAGAGCACACUGAACCCAAGAAAACACACAGAGGUGGUAAAGGGAGCUGAGGGCAUCUAAGUAGAGCAUCAAGGUCUGCUCUGUUGGAGAAAGUUCCAUUGAAGGAGCUGGCUCUUCACCUGUACUGAGCCUUAAAGGAUAGGCAGAAUUGGUAUAGACAUGGAGGAGAAAGUAUUUUAUAGAAUCUGCAAUUCAAAGACUAAUUGUAAAACUAGCAGAAUCCACCAGGUGCUCUAGAAUGCUGGGAAGUUAUUACCUAGACUCUGAAUUCUAUUUCCAGUCCCAAGGAGGAAUCCUGAAUUCAUCUUUUACUUAGGUUAUUAAAUACAAUCAUUUGUCUUUAGAUAAGGGGUGAUAGGGGGCUUAAAAAAAUCAUAUGCUUCUCCCAAACUUUAGCAAUGCUAUUAUUCAUCCAUUCUGGUCCUAAAAUACAGAUACUGCAUAAAUAUCUGCCCUCAAUAGUAAAUAAAAAGGAAGCCUGGUGGGAAGAGAAUGAGACCCACCUAAGUGUUUUAAAACUCCCUAUUCUAUUAUCAUUAUCCCUGGAUUGCAAAAUUUGGAAACCAUUUCCAAUAAAAGAUA